AACAAACGCUGGCGGCGUGCCUAAUACAUGCAAGUCGAACGGGGAAAGCUUUCGGGUGAGUACUAGUGGCGCACGGGUGAGUAACGCGUGGAUAAUCUGCCUUGGAGAGGGGGAUAACCAGUCGAAAGAUUGGCUAAUACCGCAUAAGACCACAGGAACUGAGGAUCUAGAGGUCAAAGGUUUUUCGCUUCAAGAUGAGUCCGCGUAAGAUUAGCUAGUUGGUGAGGUAACGGCUCACCAAGGCGACGAUCUUUAACUGGUCUGAGAGGAUGAUCAGUCACACUGGAACUGAGACACGGUCCAGACUCCUACGGGAGGCAGCAGUAGGGAAUAUUGCACAAUGGAGGAAACUCUGAUGCAGCGACGCCGCGUGAGUGAUGAAGGCCUUCGGGUCGUAAAGCUCUGUCGCAGGGGAAUAACACAAUGAAGGUACCCUGUAAGAAAGGAUCGGCUAACUUCGUGCCAGCAGCCGCGGUAACAC
rnacentral:rRNA from 1 species